UAGGGGCGAAAGACUAAUCGAAC
rnacentral:ncRNA from 4 species